CGCUGAUUCCGAGAAAACUGACUCGUUUUCAGCUUUAAAUUUAAUUCGGAAUAUUUUUAUUCUGUUCUGUAGCAGUGGCAUAUAAGAUUUACGAAAUGGCAUUUAUCUCCACAAGAGGUGCUGAAAACAGUUGCAAUCAGGUAGCAUUAGAAACUGUUGCACACCAGGUGGCCGUAAAAUCGCGAGAGUCAGAACCGCUCAAACCAGCUAAUAAGAUUGGUUUUUCGCCUGGGAUUUUAAAGUUUUUGACGUCACCAUUAAGUACUUAAUGACGUCUCGUUUGUGAAGAAAUGUGUUUAUCUUAACAGCGGUUCCCCUUUGCAGUAUUCACGUUAUAACCAGCAAGCAGAAAAUUGAUACAUUUUCUUUCGUCAAAAAGCGUUUCCAUGAUGCACGUCUCGCAACCGACCAGCAGAAAAUGUUUUUUGAAUUUCAGUUCUUGCAAAUGGGUGAAUAGGUUUGAAUAAUUGUUACAACUUUUCUUGGUCUCAAGUUGUUUGCUGUUUCUUCUUGUAGAAUUUGUUCCUUCUUGCCAUUUAGGAUGUUAAGCUGCUCAUCAUAAGAAAAAUGUGUCAGUAGCAAGACUUUUUGUCAAAAGGACAUUGUUGAGCCAAGUAGGACAAAAAAUAUUCUCAUUUCUUACUGGCUGCCAGCAAACUUUUACGUUGAUAAGCCUCUGAGCUUUGGGAUUAAUUCUGAAAAUCUGCAGUACCACAUUGUUCUUUGAUCAUUUCCUGGAAGUAGUUUUAACACAACUUUGUUUUUGUUGUAAUUGUUGUUGUUGUUACUCGUUUUCUUUAUUCUAUACAGUUGCUGAAAUGUAGGCAUGUUGCCGAUUCUACAGCUGAGAUACAGAUUGCAUCUAUGUCAAACUGGUCGUAUCAGCUUGCUCAUCAUUAACACACUUGAAGUCAAUAUUUAACUUUUCUACAUGGUUGAAGCUGCCACCCAAGAUAGUGCUGUCCUAGUGUGUUGCUAACAGCAUAAAGAUGAUUUCCUGUUACGAAUUCACGCCACCAAUUUCGGUUUGGUAAAUGAUAGACGUCUUCAGCGAUGGUCCACUGCUAUGGCGAUCACCUUAUUACACCCGGGAAAAGGACGUUUAAAAACUAACGCAUGACAACGUUCACAGUGCGAAUGUCUCCCAUACCUUUCCUCAUUCGUAAACAUGAAGUCGGUUUACUUGCAUUGACCUGACGGUGGUUACACCCACAUCGUAAGAAUUGCGCUUCAGGUCCAAUCGCUUUGUCAUGGAAAAGAUGAUUUAAUGGAAUGUCACCCGAAAUCAUGCUCACCUUUCAUUUUCGUUUCCGAAGAAGAAUUUUUCAAACGUUUAAACGGUGAAGGAUUGCCUUCUCAUUUGAUUUUUGAUGCAAGGUGACUUGCUGGUUAACUAACUGUUUAGAUUGUACGAAAGGACACUGGAACCCUUCCGUGUGACUUCACAUAAAAAGAAAUUAGAAAUUUUGACGUUCGAGUUUAGUUGAACGGUCGAGAUUUGUAUUCUGGAAUUCUUAUAAAUUCUUUCUUCUCUUCUCUAAUAUUGGAGAACAGGGGAUGUGUCAUUACACUGGAAGUAGGGUAAAGAUUCAAACUUGGAACCGUGUCUUCACCUAACGAACAUCUUGUUGGCCUGGCCAGUUUCGUAAAUUUUUCCUACAUAAACUUUAUUUUAAACUGAUUUCAUACUUAAUUGCUACCUAAAUUUCUAUUUUGUUUUAAAGGAUUUAAGUCAUAUCGGAAGGGAUUGCCUCUACCGCACAUGAUGCUCUUUUAAUGUAAAUUAUUGAGUGUUCAUUCAAUGUCGUGUUUGGAUUUCACUUAGAAAUCCAGGCAGAAGCUCUUCAAUUAUAAGACCAUAAAAGGAUUGCACACAUUAAUGUUUACAGUUACUUAUCAUUAUAAAUCCGAAAUGAGUUUAAGAAUGAGGACGGAUUUUUAAUUGAUGCUGGCGUUCGGAAACACGAUCAGAAAUACCUAUGAAAUGAAUAACAUUCGCUCGCGUUAUGGUAUUUGUUAUACAUAAAUUGAAGUGCAUAUCUGGGCUCCCUUCUUUUCUGUGGCCCCGUUUCCCCUUGACUCAUAAUAAGCCCGUAGGGGGUCACGCCCCUACUGUACGGUAUAUAUAAAAACAACAUAUAUCGAGGU